UGAUAACAUAAGGGAAAAUAAUGAUAUUACCUUAUUAUUAGUGUCGUCCAAAACUGGUGCCAGAAGACUCGGUAAGGCCAGAGACACAAACGUUAAUCGUCUUAAUCAGGCGUAAAGGGUUUGUAGGCGGCUUUAAAAUUUACUAAAAAAAAUAAUUAAAAUAAGUAAAGAAUAAAAGCUAGAAUCAAAUAGAGGAUAUAUGAAAGAAUGCUUAGAGUAGGUCUGAUAUCUUUAGAUACUAAGUAGAAUAUUAAAGGCGAAAGCUUUUUUCCAUUAAUGAUUGACGCUCAGAAACGAAGGUGAGGAUAGGAAAUAGGAUUAGAUACCCAGAAUACCCCUCUCUGUCAACGAUGAAUGGUAAUUAUUAGUAAAAAUUUUAUUAAUAGUAAUGUUAACACGAUAACCAUUCCGCCUUGUGAGUACAACUGCAAAGUUGAAAACAAAAAAAUUAGUCGGUUUCGGAGCAAACGAAGUGAAGCAUGUUAUUUAA
rnacentral:rRNA from 1 species